UGGAGCAUGUGGUUUAAUUCGACGCAACGCGAAGAACCUUUACCUGGGCUUGACAUCCCGAUCGCACCUUAUGGAAACAUAGGGGUCAGUUCGGCUGGAUCGGUGACAGGUGCUGCAUGGCUGUCGUCAGCUCGUGUCGUGAGAUGUUGGGUUAAGUCCCGCAACGAGCGCAACCCUUGUCCUUAGUUGCCAGCAUUCAGUUGGGCACGCUAAGGAGACUGCCGGUGUCAAACCGGAGGAAGGUGGGGAUGACGUCAAGUCCUCAUGGCCCUUAUGACCAGGGCUACACACGUACUACAAUGGCCGGUACAAAGGGCAGCGACACAGCGAUGUGAAGCGAAUCCCGAAAAGCCGGUCUCAGUCCGGAUUGGAGUCUGCAACUCGACUCCAUGAAGUUGGAAUCGCUAGUAAUCGCGGAUCAGCACGCCGCGGUCGAAUACGUUCCCGGGCCUU
rnacentral:rRNA from 1 species